rnacentral:lncRNA from 1 species
GGCCAUAACCGCAACUUUUGGAAAGAUAGGGGUCCAAAAGUGCAAUUAAGCCUUUAUUUUAUUAUGUCAAUUAUUACUUAUAAUCAUCCUUGUCUAAACCCAUUAUUUCUUUGUAACAAUUCAUUGUACCUUUGUAAGAUGAGUAUAAUAUCAAUUCACUUAUUCUCUCAUAGAGACCUCUGUUUAUAGGCAAAAAUUGCAUGAUUCAAAUAAAUCUUCCUGGAUUUUACUAUGAUUUGAAUAACCAGGACACAGCAAGAUACAAAUUUUUGUAACAAAAAUUGCAUGAUUCAAAUCAAUCUUCCUGAAUUUUACUAUGAUUUGAAUCACAUCAACCAGGACACAACAAGAUGCAAAAUUUUGUAGGGUGAUUGGAAUCAUGCUACCCCUUAUUUGAAUCAAUCAGGCCAGAAAGUGAUUAAAACCCGAUUCAGCACCCCGAUUCAAAUAAACCUUUCACACAUGUAAUCAUGCUUCGAAUCACCACAUCCAGAAAUUAAAAGAUACGAAUUUGAAGACAUAUUCGCCAUAUUGUUAAUGGAAUACAUAUCCGUAGAAUUACUUAUUUCAUAGUUUUAAAAAUUGGGAGCUUUUUAUCCACAAAAAAGAAAAGGAACAUUAUCAUUUGGUUCAAAAAGCCUUACCUUGAAGAUUAACCUCAUAUGCAGUUGUCAUGAUUGCCGAUUUUAUAGCAGACAGAGACCAAUCUGGAUGAUAGUUUUAUCAACAGUACUGCAAUUCCACUGAGAUGAGAACAAGACAUUGAGGUACCAUUAUUAAUUAUUAAAUCAACGUCUACAGUUUUGUUCGAUUGCAAUAUCAAUCAAUAUUAUUCAAUCAUUACCUAAAUACGAUUUUCUUUAUUGAGUGAGUAAAUUAAGUACAGUGUUUGUGUAGAUGAUCUUUACUUGCUAGUAGUACUCGGUGCGAUUUGCCAAACUUGCCAAAUUAUGAAGGGUGGCAAAGGAUUCUGGAUUUCAAUACAGUACAUGAAUUUUAUAAAGUUUGUUGCCAAUUGUCAAUAGUUGCAUUGUUCCUUAAUCUGAUCAACCAUAGUGCUUAAGUUUCUGGAUCAGUUAAUAGGCAAAUAAAUUAUAAAGGAGGCAGUUGCCUGCUGAUUUUGAUGGUUCGGAAGUGUUGAUACUAUAUCAGCAAUGUUGGGUUUGUGUGUAGGUUCACUUUUACUUGAAAAAUUAUUAUUAAUCAAAGUAGCAUUAAUAAUCAUUUUACAAUUAUCUCGGUAGAAAGUUGAACUUUAUAAAUUCAGGUUAAAUGGUUGAACUGUUAUCAGUGCAGCGACACACAUGGACUUUUAUUGGUAUACCUAUGUUGUCGAUAUUUCAUUCAACAUCUCCAGUCAAAAACAUUUAUUGGUUUACAUGUAUGUAUAUAAAAAAGAUAAAUUAUUAUAACAAUAAUGCUAUUGUAUUUCCAAUAACAAAUAUAAAUACCAAGUGAAUUACCAAUAAACUUGUACAAAGGAACUUCUUAGUAAGUCAGUAUCUCAUGAAUUUCUGCAACCAAUAUAUUCUAUUCCCUUCUUUAUUUCUGAAAUAUCAUAUUAAUUUAUCGCCCUCUCCCUUUAUGUAUCACUUAAAAAUGACAGAUAUUGGGAUCCUAACAGCAUGUCUAUCAGACACCCAAGUGAGAGAGCCCUGACCAAAAGUAUGAUUCCUUCUGUUUUCCUUUAUUUGUGGUAUAAAUUCAACAGAGAAACUAACCUUCUCAUUCACCUCAGUGAAUGUUAUUUCACUUGGAUUAACACUCAUACCCAAAGCUAAAGGUACUUCAAGUUCAACUUUAUAAGUUGAAUUUGCAAACCCAACAUUAGUCAAAGUUCUAGUAUAAUACUGUGAAUCAGACCCCAACAGAAUAGAGAAAGAAGGAUAGUUCAGCUGUGCUUCUGGUAUACUUUUCACAUUAGAGCACUUCACUUUCCACUGAACAAUAACUUCAAUCUCUUUAUCAGAAUAACCCAAACCACAUAGAUAAGGAACAUAAUCUUCUGGUUCAAUAUCAUAAACAAGACCAGGAUCAUUAGCUUUAACAGGAUUAACAUGUCCUGCACCAGUAGCGAAAAUAUCAGCCGGAAAAAGCCUUUGAUCCAGUAUAGGGAUCCCGCCGAGGUUGAGAGUAUUUGCAGUUGUCAUGAUUGCCGAUUUUAUAGCGGCUGGUGACCAAUCAGGAUGAGAACUUUUGAUCAAUGCAGCAAUACCACUUAGGUGAGGACAAGACAUCGAAGUACCCGAAACAAUGUCAAAAGCUGGAAUUUUGUUGUCUACAGAAACAGCCCAUGCAGCUAGAAUGUUGACACCUGGACCAAUGAUGUCUGGUUUAAGAAUUCCUGGACUUUCUUGGCUUGGUCCUCUUGAAGAAAAGUAAACAACAGAAGGAGCUAAAGAAUCACCAAUUAUCGUUCCUUUAAAUAUCAAUGUUGCUGUCGGAUUGUAUGUUGAUUUUAUGUAAGAUUUGAUUGUUAAACCAGCUGCAUAACUCACUUCAACUGCAGGUAGAACAUGAGCAAUAGCAAAAGUACUGAAACCAAGUGCUUCUGAAUUUGCAAGUAUCAUUGCUAUACCACCUGAAUUUAGAACUUCUUGUCCUUUCACAAUACUUGAGACAUUUCCUACAUCACACAGCACUACUUUUCCGCUUAAAUCAAUGUUCUUUAAGGAUCCUGGUAAACACAAGGACUGAUUCUGUGUUUGGUUUCCAUAUCCAAAUGAACCUGGAUACACAAGUGGCAAUAGUUGUUGAGAAAAGUCUUUGGGUUGGAACAACGUUUCACCUUCAUAUUCUUCACCAUUUCCUAGCUUUGCUGAUGCUACAAUUUUUCUGUCAAUUGUGCUAGCACCAACAGUGAGGAUCCAAGGAGCUUCAUUGGAGAGAGUGCUAUAUCCAGGACCAGAGUUUGCAGCAGAGCAACUAACAAAAACACCAUUUUGAGUUGCAGCAAAAGCACCAAUUGCAAUUGGGUCUUCAAAGAAUGGAAGGGAACCUAAACCAAGUGAAAGUGAAAGAACAUCUACACCAUCUUCGAUAGCAAUAUCCAUUGCAGCUAAGAUAGCACUUUCAGUGCAUCCAAUUUUGUCAUUACACACUUUGUAUAUUGCUAAGUGGGCAUUAGGUGCCAUUCCUGCUGCUACACCUUUAGCAUUACCAAAAACACUUGCAUCUUCUAUGAAUCUUCCUGCAGCCUCGGCAGCGGUGUGUGUUCCAUGGAAGAAAUUCUCAAAUGGAGGCUCUUGAAUUGCACUUUUGACCAAGUUUCUUGCACCUAUGAGCUUAUUGUUGCAUACUUGCCCUCCGGUGAAUUCACAAUGACCUUUCCAUUUUGCAGGUGGUGGCGGCAUUCCUUCGUCGUUGAAAGAUGGAUGUAAAGGGAAUAUUCCCGUGUCUAUGAUACCAAUUAUGACGCCUUUUCCAAGAUUAUCGUCGCUCCACAAUCCUUGUCCUUGUUUCAGACCCAAGAAAGUUGGAGUGUGAGUUGUGUGUAAUUCAAGGGUCCUUUCAG